rnacentral:rRNA from 1 species
CGCCUAAUACAUGCAAGUCGAGCGCAGGAAGCUCACGGAACUCUUCGGAGGGAAGUGAAGGGAAUGAGCGGCGGACGGGUGAGUAACACGUAAGGAACCUGCCCCAAGGAUUGGGAUAACUCCGAGAAAUCGGAGCUAAUACCGAAUAGUUCUUCAGACCGCAUGGUCUGAUGAUGAAAGGCGCUCCGGCGUCACCUUGGGAUGGCCUUGCGGUGCAUUAGCUAGUUGGUGGGGUAAUGGCCCACCAAGGCGACGAUGCAUAGCCGACCUGAGAGGGUGAUCGGCCACACUGGGACUGAGACACGGCCCAGACUCCUACGGGAGGCAGCAGUAGGGAAUCUUCCACAAUGGACGAAAGUCUGAUGGAGCAACGCCGCGUGAGUGAUGAAGGUUUUCGGAUCGUAAAACUCUGUUGUAAGGGAAGAACGAGUACGAGAGGAAAUGCUCGUACCUUGACGGUACCUUGCGAGAAAGCCACGGCUAACUACGUGCCAGCAGCCGCGGUAAUACGUAGGUGGCAAGCGUUGUCCGGAAUUAUUGGGCGUAAAGCGCGCGCAGGCGGCCUUUUAAGUCUGAUGUGAAAGCCCCCGGCUCAACCGGGGAGGGUCAUUGGAAACUGGAAGGCUUGAGUACAGAAGAGAAGAGUGGAAUUCCAUG